rnacentral:lncRNA from 1 species
GCUUCUUCGUGGCCCGCGACAGUCCGGCCACCUUCAUCGGCCAGUGGCGCACGGAUCUGGGCGACUCCGAAGUGCUCCGCGAGCUGGCAAGGGAGACACUGGGACUCUGCACCCGCUCAGCUCCCCAAGAUAAAGGCCUCGGAGGGGAAGUUCCGCGUGGGAGACUCCGGCCUGUUGGUCUCUGUGCUGGUGCGGGGGAGCCGCGUGACGGCGCGCGUGGGUGUGGCGACCCGCUGGAGCGCUACCUGGACCGUCAGGACCCGCGCUGCCGCUCCUCCACUACCCACUGCCCGCCCCCGUCGAGGGUCCGCACCCUGUCCCCGCAGAGGGUGUCGCCCACCCCUAGCCCCUGCCCUGGUAGCCUGGUCCCCUCGAGAGAGCGCCGGCGCUCCGGGCCCUAGGUGACCCCUAUUCGCUUACAAAGCAUAAAGCAGGUGCCGAGGCUCCCAGGCCCUGGGAUCAGCUGCCCGCCGCAUCCCCGCUCCUACUCCGAGGACAGUGACUCCUCAGCUUUCUCAGCCCAGAGCCGCCCCCUUGGUGCCCGCAGCGAGGAUGAGGCACUAGGCCCGGAGGAAGCGAUCCAGACGGGGGCUGACCACCACCACCUGGCCUCUCCGAGACGGCCCCCUGCCCCGCGCAGCCAGUCCCGGGACCGGCUGGAUCCGGGUCAGCCCCGGGGAGCUCCAGAAGAGAGAGGAGGGGAGCCCAGCUGCGGGCCCUCAGCCCUGCCCCGUGGGCGCAGGAGCAGGUUGGGCGCAAGGAUGGAGAUGGGCAGCACUCGUGGGAGCCACAGGGCAGGGGCAGCGGGGCUCGGGCAGGAGCACUCCUGGGCUCUCCGUGCCCACCACCCUGAAGCACCCUGGCUUUCCCAGUCCAAACCCAGUGUAGAGUUUAGCACCACACGCGCCAGCGUCUUCCGCACACACCAGAGCAGCUGCUCUGACGCCUGGACGAGGAGUUUCUGGCCAAUGCCGGGACCCAUAAGGCUGUUGCUAGCGGGACCUCCACUAGACCAGCCCCUAACCGGGCUCCAGCCCCAGACCCUCUAGCUCCUGACUCGGCCUACAGAUCCUCUAGUUCCUCCUCUUCAUCCCUCAUUCUCUUGUAUGGCAAACGUGGCCAACGUGGGGACUCUGGCCUUAAGACCAAUGGGCUGCCCGGCCCGCUGUCAAGCCCUUCCCAGCUCCUCCUCCAAUGAAGGAAAGCCCUGCCCUAGCAUGGGAGGGGCUACUAGAUGCACCUGGGAGCCCCCUGACUGGUCCAGAACACUCGAGGACCUGAGCACUGGGUAGGAUGGACACACAGCCAGACUGCAAACCCUCGGGCAUCCCCAUGCCUAGGGUCUCCCCCGGGUUC